AAACUUAAGUCUUAAGCAAAUCUAAUGAAGAGUCUAGAGAAAGGCAGAAAUCCAUGUACCUCAAAAGUCAAAACUUAAAACCCAUUGAGCCAUUCUUCAGUUCUGCAGAAUCAAAAACCCAAACGCAGCAGUGAAAAAAAAAAAAAAAAAGAUGAGAUCGGAGGAAGCUUGGUCUAGGGCCGGCCCUGACAGUGGGAGUGGAGAGAAAGAAUGAGAGAGGUGGAGAGCAAGAGUUGAGAGAAAAAAAAAAGCAGAGCAAGAAUGAGAAAAAGAAAGGUAAAAAUUUUAGGAAUUUGAGGUUUUUAUUUGUUUUGAUUAUUGAUUGUUUUGUGGUUAAUUUCUUAGACUGGAUUUGUAGUUUAUUUUGCUGAAUUUUGGUUUGUCUAGAAGAUAAAGAUGUUAUUUUUGGGACAAUUGAUUUUAUUUGUUUGGUCCCAACGUAAAUUUCCCUGGUUCACGCCGUCUUUAAAGUGAGCAAAUUCUUAGGAUUGCUCGCCAAUUGUUCAUCUUUGAGUUGAGAAACCGGAAAAGCGAACUUAACGUCCAAAAUUCCAAAUGACCAAAACAACUAUCUUCCUCUCCUCCUUUUCGGCCAAGCAAACUCUGAGUCUCAGCUCAAUGACAAAGAACAAACAGUCCUACCGAAACUAAAGCAACAUUGGAUUUUCUCUGAGCCACUUGGGUUUAAGGAGUUCAAGUGGCUUAGAAAUAGUGGGGGGCUACUGGCAAAAUCCACUAUCUCUAAGCUGCUUGAACCCCUUAAACUCCUGCCACCGCGGUGACUGGCCAGAGAUCACUUGCACCAGUGGAAAAGUCACCCAGUUUUACGCAGUUAAAGAAGCUCGAGUAUUUAUGGAUUUCUGGGUCUAAUUGGAAUGGGGGAAAUCCCAGACACGAUUGGAGAAAUGGAAGCUUUGGUGCAUCUGGAUUUGUCAAAGAACAAUCUGACAGGUAAAAUUCCUAGCAAUUUGUUUAUGCCAAAGAAUUUAAGUAUUGUGUAUCUUUUCAGUAACCAAUUGUCUGGGGAGAUUCCUCGGGUGGUUGAAGCAUUAAACAUUGAUGUUAUUGAUCUCUCGGAUAAUAAAUUGACCGGAACCAUAAUUGAUGAUUUUGGCAGACUCAGAAACAUGAUGGAUCUGAGUUUGUUUUUCAAUCAGUUAUCUGGAAAAGGUUAGGAAACCAUUUCUGACAAGGUUUAGGGUGAGGUGCCCAUGUUGCUGUGUAGCUUCGACUUGUCCACAUUUGAAGAGUUGUUAUAAAGAGUGCGUCCAGGCAGCAUUGGAUUUCGCUCUGAGUGCUGAGGAUUUUGACGAACUUGUUGACCCACGGUCUUUGUACGAUCAUUUCUUAGGUCCUGAGCCUUCUGCCUACAUUCUUCAACUAAUUCUUAGGGAAGAAAGAAAGGUGGCCACCCGAUUCAACCAAGACAAAUAUGCUCAUGCAAAGGGGAAGAAGAAUGAACCCUUGUCCAAACUGAUUUCACCCCUGAAGAAAAAAAGACUACAGAUGGUUCUGGGGUUGUCAUAUUAACUCCUAUUCAACCUUCUUUACCUUCUUCUCCUAUUAUGUCACUCAGGGAGCUACCUUUGCCACCUAGGACUAAAGCCAAAAGGAAGGAAAAGAUGGGGCAAAGUGUUUGGGCUGAUCCUACAACGGCUUUUGGAAGGGCUCGCAAAGUCAUUACCGAGGACAAGCUCAAGGCCUUGUCUUCUGUUCUCUUGCACAAGCUUGUUAGUUUUCAUAUCCAUAAGAUGCUGCAGGUUCUUAGGGAGUCGUUGCAUUUGACGACUGAUUAUCUCACGACUAAGGAGAAGGUAGUGAUGGCUAUGUCCAAGGCUAAGGCUGUGGAGGCCAAAUAUUCAACACUAAGAAAAUAGUUGAAUGAGGCCAUGAAUGAUGUCAACGAAGCUAAGACCAAGUUGAAGGAUAUCUCUAACAAGCUGAAGGUAGAGAAGAUGCUCAUCACUUAAAAGAUGAGCAGAUUUAGUCGACCCUAUUGAAGCAUGAAUCAGAACGUGAGAAGGCUAUUGUUGACUUUCUACUUUCGAAGAUUUACUCAAUUGUUACAUUCGAUGAUUAUUUCAAAAGCUUUGAGCUCCUCCGAAGGUGGACGAUGAAGCAUCAUCCAGAGGUCUAUUACUCUAGCAUUGAUUUUGAGGCAAUAGAUAAAGAGAUGAUGACUGAUGAAGCUGCUGAACAGGCUCGAGCCAAUGAGCAAGCUAGAGUUAGAGGAGAAGAAGGAGGAGAAGGCCCUGAGAAUGUACUUGUUGAUUCCCAUGUUUAAACCUUUCUUUUUUUCUUUUUUUUUCUUUCUACAAACAAUUAGAAUAUUUUAAUACUCAUAUGUUCUUUGAUAAUGCUUAUACUCCUAUAAACAUCUUGAUGCUUAUGUGAUCUUGUUUGUCAAAUUUGGACUUGUAAAUUUAGUUAUUCAUCCAACUUUGAUUCAAUCAUGUUUUAGCAA